AUUGAACGCUGGCGGAAUGCUUUACACAUGCAAGUCGAACGGCAGCACGGGGGCAACCCUGGUGGCGAGUGGCGAACGGGUGAGUAAUACAUCGGAACGUGCCCGGUCGUGGGGGAUAACGUAGCGAAAGUUACGCUAAUACCGCAUACGAUCUGAGGAUGAAAGCGGGGGACCUUCGGGCCUCGCGCGAUCGGAGCGGCCGAUGUCAGAUUAGGUAGUUGGUGGGGUAAAGGCCUACCAAGCCGACGAUCUGUAGCUGGUCUGAGAGGACGACCAGCCACACUGGGACUGAGACACGGCCCAGACUCCUACGAGAGGCAGCAGUGGGGAAUUUUGGACAAUGGGCGCAAGCCUGAUCCAGCCAUUCCGCGUGCAGGACGAAGGCCUUCGGGUUGUAAACUGCUUUUGUAUGGAACGAAAAGGCUCUGGCUAAUACCUGGGGCUCAUGACGGUACCGUAAGAAUAAGCACCGGCUAACUACGUG
rnacentral:rRNA from 1 species